rnacentral:rRNA from 1 species
UACAGAGGGUGCGAGCGUUAAUCGGAAUUACUGGGCGUAAAGCGUGCGUAGACGGCUAUCUAAGUCGGGUGUGAAAGCCCCGGGCUCAACCUGGGAAUUGCAUUCGAGACUGAAUAGCUAGGGUACGGUAGAGGAAGUGGAAUUUCCGGUGUAGCGGUGAAAUGCGUAGAUAUCGGAAGGAACAUCAGUGGCGAAAGCGACUUCCUGGACCAGUACCGACGUUCAGGCACGAAAGCGUGGGAGCAAACAGG